GCGGAUGUGGCGGAAUUGGUAUACGCGCACGUUUGAGGGGCGUGUGGGUCUCCCUUGCGAGUUCGAGUCUCGCCAUCCGCA
rnacentral:tRNA from 2 species